UACGUAGGGGGCAAGCGUUGUCCGGAAUCAUUGGGCGUAAAGAGCGUGUAGGCGGCCCGGUAAGUCCGCUGUGAAAGUCCAGGGCUCAACCCUGGGAUGCCGGUGGAUACUGUCGGGCUCGAGUCCGGAAGAGGAGUGUGGAAUUCCUGGUGUAGCGGUGAAAUGCGCAGAUAUCAGGAAGAACACCAAUGGCGAAGGCAGCUCUCUGGGACGGUACUGACGCUGAGACGCGAAAGCGUGGGGAGCGAACAGG
rnacentral:rRNA from 1 species